AGUGAACGCUGGCGGUAGGCCUAACACAUGCAAGUCGAACGGCAGCACAGGAGAGCUUGCUCUCUGGGUGGCGAGUGGCGGACGGGUGAGGAAUACAUCGGAAUCUACCUUUUCGUGGGGGAUAGCGUAGGGAAACUUACGCUAAUACCGCAUACGACCUACGGGUGAAAGUGGGGGACCGCAAGGCCUCACGCGAUUAGAUGAGCCGAUGUCCGAUUAGCUAGUUGGCGGGGUAUGGCCCACCAAGGCGACGAUCGGUAGCUGGUCUGAGAGGAUGAUCAGCCACACUGGAACUGAGACACGGUCCAGAAUCCUACGGGAGGCAGCAGUGGGGAAUAUUGGACAAUGGGCGCAAGCCUGAUCCAGCCAUACCGCGUGGGUGAAGAAGGCCUUCGGGUUGUAAAGCCCUUUUGUUGGGAAAGAAAUCCUGUCGAUUAAUACUCGGUGGGGAUGACGGUACCCAAAGAAUAAGCACCGGCUAACUUCGUGCCAGCCGCCGCCGUAACAC
rnacentral:rRNA from 1 species